rnacentral:rRNA from 1 species
AUUGAACGCUGGCGGCAGGCCUAACACAUGCAAGUCGAGCGAGCGGCGGACGGGUGAGUAAUGUCUGGGAAACUGCCUGAUGGAGGGGGAUAACUACUGGAAACGGUAGCUAAUACCGCAUACAAUCAGAUGUGCCCAGAUGGGAUUAGCUAGGAGGUGGGGGAAUGGGUCACCUGGGCGACGAUCCCUAUCUGGUCUGAGAGGAGGGCCAGCCCAACUGGAACUGAGACACGGUCCCUACUCCUACGGGAGGCAGCAGUGGGGAAAAAUGCACAAAUGGCGCAAGCCUGGUGGAGCCAUGCCGCGUGUGUGAAGAAAGCCUUCGGGUUUUAAAGCACUUUCAGCGGGGAGGCGUUACCCGCAGAAGAAGCACCGGCUAACUCCGUGCCAACAGCCGCGGUAAUAC